rnacentral:rRNA from 1 species
CCUACGGGAGGCAGCAGUAGGGAAUAUUUCACAAUGGGGGAAACCCUGAUGCAGCAACGCCGCGUGGAGGAUGAAGGUUUUCGGAUUGUAAACUCCUUUUGUUAGAGAAGAUAAUGACGGUAUCUAACGAAUAAGCACCGGCUAACUCCGUGCCAGCAGCCGCGGUAAUACGGCGGGUGCAAGCGUUACUCGGAAUCACUGGGCGUAAAGAGCGCGUAGGCGGGAUAGCAAGUCUGAUGUGAAAUCCUACGGCUUAACCAUAGAACUGCAUUUGACAAUGUUAUUCUAGAGUAUGGGAGAGGUAAGUGGAAUUCUUGGUGUAGCGGUAAAAUGCGUAGAGAUCAAGAGGAAUACUCAUGGCGAAGGCGACCUGCUAGAACAUAACUGACGCUGAUGCGCGAAAGCGUGGGGAGCAAACAGGAUUAGAUACCCUAGUAGUC